UACAUGGGGUGCAAACGUUGCUCGGAAUCAUUGGGCGUAAAGCGCGCGUAGGCGGUUACUUAAGUUGGAUGUGAAAGCCCUCGGCUUAACCGAGGAAGUGCAUCCAAAACUGAGUAGCUAGAGUACGAAAGAGGGUCGCGGAAUUCCCGGUGUAGAGGUGAAAUUCGUAGAUAUCGGGAGGAACACCAGUGGCGAAGGCGGCGACCUGGGCCAAUAUUGACGCUGAGGUGCGAAAGCGUGGGGAGCAAACAGG
rnacentral:rRNA from 1 species